ACGCUCGACACCUACGGGGGCAGCAGUGGGGAAUAUUGCACAAUGGGGGAAACCCUGAUGCAGCGACGCCGCGUGAGCGAAGAAGUAUUUCGGUAUGUAAAGCUCUAUCAGCAGGGAAGAAAGUGACGGUACCUGACUAAGAAGCCCCGGCUAACUACGUGCAGCAGCCGCGGUAAUCUGAGCGGGCUGGCAAGGC
rnacentral:rRNA from 1 species